AACGAACGCUGGCGGCAGGCCUAACACAUGCAAGUCGAACGCCCCGCAAGGGAGGUGGCAGACGGGUGAGUAACGCGUGGGAACGUACCCUUCGGUUCGGAAUAACCCGGGGAAACUCGGGCUAAUACCGGAUACGUCCGCAAGGAGAAAGAUUUAUCGCCGAAGGACCGGCCCGCGUCGGAUUAGCUAGUUGGUGGGGUAAUGGCCCACCAAGGCGACGAUCCGUAGCUGGUCUGAGAGGAUGAUCAGCCACACUGGGACUGAGACACGGCCCAGACUCCUACGGGAGGCAGCAGUGGGGAAUAUUGGACAAUGGGCGGAAAGCCUGAUCCAGCCAUGCCGCGUGAGUGAAGAAGGCCUUAGGUUGUAAAGCUCUUUCAGCGGGGAAGAUAAUGACGGUACCCGCAGAAGAAGCCCCGGC
rnacentral:rRNA from 1 species